UAGCCUACGGGGCGCAGCAGUAGGGAAUUUUCGUCAAUGGGCGCAAGCCUGAACGAGCGAUGCCGCGUGAGUGAAGAAGGCCUUCGGGUCGUAAAGCUCUGUUGCGGGGGAAAAAAGGCAGCAUCAGGAAAUGGGUGCUGACUGAUGGUGCCCCGCCGGAAAGUCACGGCUAACUACGUGCCAGCAGCCGCGGUAAUACGUAGGUGGCGAGCGUUAUCCGGAAUGAUUGGGCGUAAAGGGUGCGCAGGCGGUCCUGCAAGUCAGGUGGGAAACGAAUGAGCUCAACUCAU
rnacentral:rRNA from 1 species